GGGUGAGUAACACGUGGAUAACCUACCUAUAAGACUGGGAUAACUUCGGGAAACCGGAGCUAAUACCGGAUAAUAUAUUGAACCGCAUGGUUCAAUAGUGAAAGACUGUUUUGCUGUCACUUAUAGAUGGAUCCGCGCCGCAUUAGCUAGUUGGUAAGGUAACGGCUUACCAAGGCAACGAUGCGUAGCCGACCUGAGAGGGUGAUCGGCCACACUGGAACUGAGACACGGUCCAG
rnacentral:rRNA from 1 species